ensembl:rRNA 5S_rRNA 5S ribosomal RNA
GCCCUGGUCACUCACCUCAGCCUAUGCAUCUCAUCUCAUCUGAUCUCAGAAGCUAAGCAAUAUUGGGCCUGGUUAGUAUUGGGGUGAGAGAGCAGCUGGAAAAACUGGGUGCUGUAGGCU